UAAAACAUGCGGGAGGAAUCUCAAUGAGGUUGCUAGAAUAAAAUGUCAUGGGGUUCAGUUGCAACAUAAACACGCAGAGCGACCCUUAAGGUCCGUCAUCUUCCCAACCUUUUAGAGGCUUGGGCGUGGGUCGGAGACUGGUUACUUUCGAGUCCGACCAAGGUUGUGAUUGCUUCUAUUUGAAAAAAACCGCUAUCUAAAAAAAGGAAAAAAGGUAGAAAAGGAAAGAAAAGAAAAUGAAGAUGAAAAGCAAAGAAAAGCAAAAUGAAAGCAAGUUGUAUAUAGUAGUGG
rnacentral:lncRNA from 1 species